rnacentral:rRNA from 1 species
UUCCUAGUAAGCGCAAGUCAUCAGCUUGCGUUGAUUACGUCCCUGCCCUUUGUACACACCGCCCGUCGCUAGUACCGAUUGAAUGGCUUAGUGAGGCCUC